GAUGAACGCUGGCGGCGUGCCUCAAACAUGCAAGUCGAGCGAGGCUAUGAGUUACCGCAAGGUAAGGCAUAGCCUAGCGGCGAACGGGUGAGUAACACGUGGGUAACCUACCUGGAAGACAGGGAUAACGAUUCGAAAGGGUCGCUAAUACCUGAUAAUAUCCAUCUGCCGGAUGGCGGAGGGAAGAAAGGGGAAACCCGCUUUCAGAUGGGCCCGCGUCCCAUCAGCUAGUUGGUAAGGUAAAGGCUUACCAAGGCGACGACGGGUAGCCGGUCUGAGAGGAUGUACGGCCACACUGGGACUGAGAUACGGCCCAGACUCCUACGGGAGGCAGCAGUUGGGAAUCUUAGGCAAUGGACGAAAGUCUGACCUAGCGACGCCGCGUGAGGGAAGAAGGCCUUCGGGUUGUAAACCUCUGUCAUGGGGGAAGAAGUAAGUGACGGUACCCCAAGAGGAAGCCCCUGCUAACUACGUG
rnacentral:rRNA from 1 species